UAAGUAACUUAUUUGUCCCUUUUCUGUUAUCAGCGUGCCAGUACCACCAGGCCGAAACAUACCCCAUUGCUGGGGUUUUGAAAGAAAGAACAAGGAGGGGAGUGUUCCAAAGACUUCUGAAAUGGGAACCAUGCCCAGAAUGCGGGAAGGAUUUCGCUCCAACCUGGCAGACAGUUUAAGUGACCUCAAAGCUCCCCAGCACUCGCCAUGAAGGGAGGCACCAUGACGCUGGCCUGAUUAUCAUCGACAUUCAAAUCUAUUUCCAGAAUUCAUGCUGCCCUUUCACUAAUGUUACCUUUUUCAUGAGUACACAACCACCAUCAAAUUCUAAGUAUUCAUUAUGACUGGAAAAAUUGCACUUUUCAUACAUGAAAAAGGGAUCUUCAACAUAGUCCGCCAUUUUGAAUUUCCAAAAAUAGCCACUUUCAGCUGCAAAAAUGACUGCACUCGGACCAUACUAGAAAAUAUUUGUUUAUUACUUAGUACACUUUCAUGUAAAGACCAAAUUUGGCAAUAUGCAGCCCAGUUUCAAUGAGCAGCAUAGUUGCAGUACCUUUUUUGACCAUUUCCUGCACAGUGUCCCUUUAACAUUUACCAAGUACUUUACUCCAGACCUGAUUCACAAGGAGGGCUCAGUCUGGCUACCGUGAGGCACAUUUUAGUUGUUUUUGUGUUGAUUUCUUUUGUUUUUAUUACUAUCAUUAUAGUGUUAUUAUUAUUAUUAUUCAAAGCUUAUUUGUUUUUUUGUGUGUGAUUUUUUUAAACAAUGCACCUGCCCCCCAAAAUCUGUGCACGCGCAUGUGUGUGUGUGUGUGUGUGUGUGUGUGUGUGUGUGUGUGUGUGUGUGUGUGUGUGUAAGGCACAUUUUAGUUGUUUUUGUGUUGAUUUCUUUUGUUUUUAUUACUAUCAUUAUAGUGUUAUUAUUAUUAUUAUUCAAAGCUUAUUUGUUUUUUUGUGUGUGUUUUUUUUAAACAAUGCACCUGCCCCCCAAAAUCUGUGCACGCGCAUGUGUGUGUGUGUGUGUGUGUGUGUGUGUGUGUGUGUGUGUGUGUGUAAGGCACAUUUUAGUUGUUUUUGUGUUGAUUUCUUUUGUUUUUAUUACUAUCAUUAUAGUGUUAUUAUUAUUAUUAUUCAAAGCUUAUUUGUUUUUUUUGUGUGUGUUUUUUUUAAACAAUGCACCUGCCCCCCAAAAUCUGUGCACGCGCAUGUGUGUGUGUGUGUGUGUGUGUGUGUGUGUGUAAAUAAAUACUGUAAAUAAAUACUUGAAAUCGUGUGAGUUUCUUCUAUAAUAUCAGUGGUAAAUGCACAUUAAAUGUUAGUGUAUACCGUGUCUGUAAUAAUCCUGGUCAAUUCUUCUGGAUGGAGAUGUAGUGAGGUAUCAAACCUACCUAUACAAUAAUAGUCCCAUUGAAAAUACCGCCCAUUGAAAAUGAAUGGGAGCUCUUGCACCAUUCUAGAGUGCCUUAUAAUAAUACAGUAAGAGUAGUGUUAAGAGAGACCAUUUAAUCAACACUUUGUGACACACACACUUUGAAAACCACUGGGCAAGGUGGUGACUAGGCCUACAUCAGCAUCUUUCAGAGAAAAGGUGAGUAGGAGUGGUGCAUCAGCAUCAGUAGCAUCAGCGUCUGGGACCCACCGCCCUGACGCAGUAGGCUACAUAUGCAUGUGGAUACGGAUACGGGCAGGAGUGUAAAUUCAAAGAUAGCCUACGGGCAGGAGUGUAGCCUAAUCACCAGCGGUGUUUUAAAUCGGUGGGCGGCUUCAUGUCACUCCCCGUGUCAUUUUAAACAGAAGGUGGAAAUCAGGAAGAUGCGCUGCCAUUCAUCAGCUGCCAAAACACGUUUUAGUUGUAGACUACAUGCAUGCAUAUCGUAAAUCAACCACGUAGUUUUCAAAUGCCAACGCAUUCAUAUCGUAAAUCCACCACGAGACUCAAAUCUUAAAUCAACCACGAAACACGGGCAAUAAUAAAAUGUUUUCGCUUUUCAUUGCACCUAACUCCUCACUCCGAUAUUUUCAUUGCACCUACCUCCGCAUUCCAAUAAAGAAGGCACGAGGGGCUACUUAUUUAUUCAAUCGUUAUUUUAUUUUAUUUUUACUGGGAAGGAGUAGGCCUACGGGCAUGA